AUUGAACGCUGGCGGCAGGCCUAACACAUGCAAGUCGAGCGGAUCGGCCGACGGGUGAUUAUUGCCUACUACUCUGCCUGUUAGUGGCGUAUCACGUCCUGUAACGGGCGCUUAUACCGCCUUCUAUCAUAUUCGCCUAGGUCGGUUUAGCUUGUUGGUGGGGUAAAGGCCUACCAAGGCGACGAUCCGUAACUGGUCUGUGAGGAUGAUCAGUCACACUGGAACUGAGACACGGGCCAGACUCCUACGGGAGGCAGCAGUGGGUAAUAUUGGACAAUGGGCGAAAGCCUGAUCCAGCCAUGCCGCGUGUGUGAAGAAGGUCUUCGGAUUGUAAAGCACUGUAAGUUGGGAGGCGUGAGCAACAGAAUAAGCACCGGCUAACUUCGUGCCAGCAGCCGCGGUAAUAG
rnacentral:rRNA from 1 species